GUGUCGUUGUGGGGUAUAGUGUCGUUGUGGGGUAUUGUGUCGUUGUGGGGUGCGGUGGGGUAUAGUGUCGUUGUGGGGUAUAGUGUCGUUGUGGGGUAUAGUGGGGUACAGUGUCGUUGUGGGGUACAGUGUCGUUGUGGGGUACAGUGUCGUUGUGGGGUAUUGUGUCGUUGUGGGGUAUAGUGGGGUAUAGUGUCGUUGUGGGGUAUAGUGUCGUUGUGGGGUAUUGUGUCGUUGUGGGGUAUAGUGGGGUAUAGUGUCGUUGUG
ensembl:lncRNA